GCUCCCGAUAAGAGGCGGCAGCUGCUGUAACUACUGUGAUGUGAUUCCGGGUGGCGUGGGACAUUCCAGGUUCAGCGUGGUGGGCAGCACUGUCUGCAGCCUGCUGCUCAUUCAGAAUCCACCCUGGGCAGGGGCUGGGUCAGAGGGGUUCCUAUCAGGAGAGAGAGCUGGCCUUCGCCUUGCGCCCCCGGGAGAGCGCCGAGGGGCCCAGGAGCACAGGGCCCGGCCGGCGCCCGCAAGGAAACCGCGGCGAGCAGUGUGAAGAUGUCUUGCUGUCACUUGGUGAAGGACGGCCAGGCCUCGUGGCCUGAGUGACGGGGCCGCAGUGGGGUGGAGGCAGCCUGGGAAAGUGCAGGUUGAACUGCUGGCAGUCGGGUGCCCUGCUGGGGCCUGGGGCAGUCCAGCAGCUCUGUCCCCUGGACACACACACGCACACCCUCCCCCACAGGAGCCCCCCUCCAACUGGCGCUUGGGAACCCAGGAGCAUUUCCCUUGGGAGCGGAUCUUCUGGAAGGGUGGGAGCCUCCCAGAGGAUGCCAUGCCUUCCGAAUAGUCUGUCCCUCCCCACUGUGAGACUUUGUCAGGAGUCUGCUGUCCUUGCAGCGUGCAGGACUCGGCUCACCCACUUUACUGCACACCAGGUCCAUCAGUCAGUCAGUCAAUCAUCCUGAAGGCAUUUAAUGAACAACUACUAUGUCCCAGGCUCCAUGCUGAGUCCUAGGGACCCAGCAAAGAAUAAGACACAGGAUGCUCUCGUCCCUACAGAGGGGACAGUCCCAGGAGCUGGAAGGGUUCCCUUGAGCCAUCCCCACCCCCUCUCCUCGUUACUCUGGGGGCCAGGCCAGGCCAAGGUGACGCGUCCUGUCCACGUUAAGGUCAUGAGGAGUGACCAGGGAGCCUGAAGUCCCGAUCCCCAUCGAUUUGUGUGUGACCUUGCAUAAGUCACUUCCCCUCCGUAAACCUGGAUUCCCUCCUCUUUAAAGAGACGGAUGUGGGGUCCACACGACCCCAAGGCCUGUCCUUCCUGGGGAGUGAGUCUGGGAAUCGCCUCCCACUCAUGAGGCUCGCUCAGUAGGUCUUUGCUGAGGCCGCCCUGACCACAGACCACGCCGGGGACCCACGACGACCAGGCCUGGCCCCCUUCUCCAGGAAGACCCUGAUUUACAUGUCUGACAUAUAGACAAUAAGGCAGAUGGUUGGAGACAUCAGCAAACUGAAGCCGACAGCUUUUCUCCUGCUCCCAGACGCUCCCUCCUGUGCCGUAGUUUGAGAUCACCACCCUGGUGUCAGCCGAGAGCCCUUAUCUCCCGGGAGAAGUUGUCAGAUCGGUGUAGCCGGCCUCACGGUCACGCUGCCUCGAUUUCAUUCCCAGGAGACAAGAUAAUCAUCGUUAAUUGCGCGGCGAACAGCGGGGACGAUGGCAAAGGAAGGCGGCUCCUCUCCCCUCAGGUUCUUGCGUGCUGGUGGGAGAAGAGCUGCCAGAGGCUGGACCACAGACUUUGAAAACCGGGUUCAAAUCCUGCUUGACCUCGGGCAGGUUUCUUAACCUCUCUGUGCCUCAGUUUACUUAUCUGUAAAUAGCGGACAAUUAGAACAAUCCCUACUUAUCUCAGAGGGGGGUUAAACGGACUACCGUUUGUAAGCAUCUGGACCCAUCAAGACCCCAUGAACGUUCCUUGAAUAAGCGCUAAGUAGGUGCACCCCGCUCAGCCUCCCAGGCACGGCGGAGAAGUCCUAAGAAAAGAGAUUCGGGGUCCCCAAAGCCAUCAGUCACGCGGCCUCAUGUUCUGUGCUCACCAGGGGAGCUGAAAACAAGUCGUUUGUACUUACGGAAACCUCACUCUGAGUCAGACACCGUCCCAGGGGCUCCUGAGUACCUUAACCAAGUUAAUCCUCGCACAAAUCCUGGGGGACGCACAGGGAAUGUCCUCACCACUCCCAUCUUACAGAUGGAGAAACUGAGGCUCAGAGCAGCGCCUGACGGGUGGGCAUCAGCCUCCAGUGCUUCAGCUGGUGGAAAGCAGGGUGCAGGGGUCCCCAGUCUCAGCCCCGCUCACUCUCACCAGCUGUGUGGUUUGGGGCAAAGGACUAACCUCUCUGUUUUCUCAGCUGUGAAGUGGGGGAAACAGCACCUACCCGCAGGGCCGUGGUGGAGCGUAAAUGAGACGACGUGGGCCACACGCCUGCAUGGCUGUUAACGUGUGACGGGGCUCAGGAGAUGGGAAAAGUUAUAACUUAAAAAGGGGAAGAGGGGGCUGAGCAGAGGUCCUAAGCCCAGGGCAGCCCCAGG
rnacentral:lncRNA from 1 species